rnacentral:rRNA from 1 species
UACGUAGGGUGCAAGCGUUAUCCGGAUUUAUUGGGCGUAAAGGGCUCGUAGGCGGUUCGUCGCGUCCGGUGUGAAAGUCCAUCGCUUAACGGUGGAUCCGCGCCGGGUACGGGCGGGCUUGAGUGCGGUAGGGGAGACUGGAAUUCCCGGUGUAACGGUGGAAUGUGUAGAUAUCGGGAAGAACACCAAUGGCGAAGGCAGCAUACCGGUGCACAACUGACGCUCAGGCACGAGAGCGUGGGUAGCGAACAGG